CCCUUAGAUGUUCUGGGCCGCACGCGCGCUACACUGACGAAUGCAACGAGCUUAUAACCUUGGCCGAAAGGUCUGGGUAAUCUCCAAAUUUCGUCGUGAUGGGGAUGGAUUAUUGCAAUUAUUAAUCUUCAACGAGGAAUGCCUAGUAAGCGCAAGUCAUCAGCUUGCGUUGAUUACGUCCCUGCCCUUUGUACACACCGCCCGUCGCUCCUACCGAUUGAAUGGUCCGGUGAAGCGUUCGGACCGUGGCCUUUGGACGGUUCGCCGUCUGUUGGCUGCGGGAAGUUCGUUAAACCUUAUCAUUUAGAGGAAGGAGAAGUCGUNACA
rnacentral:rRNA from 1 species